GAAAGGGAGGUGCAGCCUCUGUUGUUCCUGAAACCUUGAGUCCCUUUUUUCUUACACAGCUUGACAGACCAGUCUCCCGCCAGACAGGACAGCAAGACGGGCAAAGCCAGACUCUUAUAUCAAUCUGCAGCUUUAAAGCAAAUUGAAUUGGCCUGCUUGAUGCUCUGCCCGGCGAGCCUGACAUCAUUUCCAAGUCAGCUGCAGCUCCUGUGAACGCCAGCCAGUACAAUUUUGCAGCAAAGCUUGGCUCUCUUCCACGUUUUCUCAGGAACAGCACUGCAAAAAUACAGCAAGCCCUGCAGGGAUUCAAAGCAAGGAAUCCAGGCUUUCUCAGCCCAUCCUUCUUUGGAGAGGUGAUAAGGCACCACCUUUGUCUACUACUCCAAGUCCCUGUGACUGGUAGUAAGGUGGAAAGAAGGAGAGGCUUUUUAUAGUGCUCCACCCCUUUCUGUAUGGUACAUCACUUCCCUCUUUGCUUCUAUGAAACACCCCUGGUUACAUUAAAGAGAGGAAGAGACAUCUUCAUAAUCAACGGUUCCAAACAAGGUCAUACCCCAGGAGCAGACGGCAUCUGGAAUCGAUUCUUCUUAGCCUCUUCUCCAUAUGAACAGCUAACUGACACUCCAACCCUAGGAAUAUCCUUCAUUAUAAAGAGAUCCUUUUUUGGCUUCUGCAAGCUUACUGUGCAUCUUUGUCACCAUGCAGGCUCUCCUGGGACUCUUCUUUUUCUCUGUACUUCUGACUAAAGCUUUCUCUUUGCAGUGUGAAUCAUGCAACGUGGAAGCCAAAACUUGUACUCCUAGAAAUGACACUUGUGCUCCUAACGUAGAUGGCUGUUAUACUUUGUUGCUGGAAACCAAAGAAAAGACACCGUACCUCUCUAAGGGAUGCAUGACGAAGGUUUUAUGUGAAAAAUUAAAAGGAGACAAAGGGAAGGUGAUAGCCCAAGAUUAUGGAAGCUUUCCAAAAGAUGCCAUUGUCCAAAGUGUGGAAUGUAGCAAGGCCCCCGUCUCUUCUGCCUCCCUCCUGCUGACCCUUUCUGGGAUCUUGCUGAUGAAGUUCGUCUUCUAACAAAGCUCUUGCAUCCGAGUCAGCCAAGAAAAGGGCUCUUUCUCAUCUGUGUGCAUGCAGUCUUCUCUGAUGCUUUUUCCGUGGUCUUGCUCUUCCUCUAUGAUUUACUGAACGGAAAUAAAUUAAAACCAGAUGGGGAGCAGGACUGACAUUCAGUCAUCAUCUGCUACUGUUGAUUUGGGGAUGGGAGGCAGGUGGCAAAGGAAUUUCUCUCUCCGUUCUAAUUGGCUCAGUACUAGCGGUGAAACUAAACUUUGUAUUAAAUGAGUGUUGGGUAACCUUUCCAAGGAUUCUAGGCUUCUGGGGGAGGAUGCAGGAUAACACUGUGAUGCCUAAAUAAAUGUGAUCAGUCCUUGAAUUUGAUCCAGGAAGGAGGUUUAAUGAAACAUGCUUUCCUCUUCCCAUAAACAAGCCUUUCAGUCUUACAGGCUUUAGCAGUGCCUAGUAGUCCAACGAACAACUCAUUAAAAAUGGCUACCCAAAUGAAAUGGGCAUUUCCUUUUCUUGAUGCUUUAUGAAGUCAGUCCUGGAAAUGCUUGCACUCCAGAGACUAGCAGAAACUGUCAGUUUUCAUUCUUUAGUAAGACCCAUACAGUUAAGAUAUUCAGGCUGGACUGUUAAUCAUAGGCAGAUUAUGCUUUCUUAAGCAGAUGUCUAAUACAGUGCACCCUUCCCUUACGCGGGGAUCCUUUCUGGACCCCCCUGCGUAAGGGAAAAAUGUGUAUGCUUGAUCCCCAUUAGAAGCAAUGAUACACAUGCCAUGGGUGUGCACCACAUUACUUCUUCUUGGCAUGCCGAGGCUUCUUCUGGUGCGUAAGGUGCACCCAUGUAUAACACAGGUGCACUGUACCUUGAUGUGGCCGGUUAAUAUUUCUUGAAUGAGAGCAAACAGCAGAUCAUUUGGACUCUGUCAGUUUGAAGGAUUUAUCCACUAGAACAUGGGGCACUGUGCACAUUUUCUCUCUCUUCCCCACAUCCAAUCAUAAAAACGUAUAUUCCAGGGGUGGGCAACUCCAUGGGGUCAGGGACCCAUUUCCCCCAGUCCCCCUGUGAACCACAUCCUCCAUAGCUAACCAAAUACCUCAGUUUUUGUCUGGAAUCCCUCUCAAAAUGGUGACAAUCCAACACUGCAUGGCUUGUUGCAGCACUUCCUGUUGCCAUUUUGAGAGGGGCUACAGAAGAAAAUGGAGAUAUCUGGGCAUAGUACAGAGUUCCUGGAAUGCUUCUGGUGAUUGCAUAGAUUAUUCAUUUUGCAUUUGGGGAACCUCUGUGCAAUUUGGGGGCCAAACCUGUCUCAAAGCCAUGCACUUUAAAACACACCCACCCACACAUUUGGAGCUGUUGUGGACUUUGGAGGACUGGUGGAGAGCUUCAGCAACCACAAAAGUGGGGUUCAGGGCCAUAUUAUGCCCACCGUUGAUAUAUGCACACUUACCUUUUGCCUCUGCUUGUGCUUUGCCUGUAUAUGUUUGUAAAUAAAGCAAAUAUUUCAACAAA